UAACAAAAAUAAGCUAUUUGGCGCCUCAAUCAAAAGCCCAUAAAGCUUAGCCAAUCAAAAGACGACGUUCCUUCGGUCUCGAGGGUCAUCCCUGCGGACCUGUGAAGAAGAAUGAUUCGGGCCAGACAUGAUAAAAGAUGAAGCCUAGACGAGGAGACGUCUCCAUCAUCAUCAUGUGACUCCCCUGGGACCAGCAAGGCACAGGGUGGCCAGCUGGGACAAGAGCCCAACACUCCAAAUGUCUCUCCACUAGUGGCACUUAUCAGGAAGAAGAGAUGACUGUGGAUCAACCUGACCAACUGCAAGUUCGAGAGCGGUGAGUACCUCCCUCCCGUCCUCCUAACUAUCAAACCUGAUGAUUAGCAAAGAGAUGUACACACUGAAUGACUGAAUACAGUAAUGACUAAUGAUAAUGGAUCGUACUUAAUCCCUAUAGAGCUGAUCAAUCAAUGCCAUUGUCUCCAUGAUGUAGUGCCAUUGAUCAAGCGUCAUUAAAAUAUCAUCAAUUGAGCUCAUUAACCUAGACCUAUUGUGCUCUCAACACUCGUGGCCUUGAGCAUCCGGUUUUUAGUAAGAAGCAAAAGUGAUUGACAAGCUGUUUUUUUUUCAUAUUCUGUAUUGCGAUAUUUAUCAAAUGCUGAUCUAGUAUAAUAUUGUUAUCCUGAUCGGCAGUAGAAUUAAGUGUCAAAUUUGUUUAGUACUGUCACAGAGAAAUGUUGGUACACCAGUGUGAUGACAGAUAUAUCCCUCUGACUAUUUGACCCAUCGUUCAGUUUCAAUGAUUCACACAGUUAGAAAUUGGAAAGACCCAAUGGUUCUGUCUUGUCACAUUGAAAGUAAAGGAAUUAUCCCGACACAUCAAGUAUUUACAGACUCUUCCAAGACGGUCUCGGCAUAGCCAACUAUUCAUAUUGGCCUAACUUAUACUACCGUUGAAAAGUUUGGCGUCACUUAGAAAUGUCCUUGUUUUUGAAAGAAAAACA